rnacentral:rRNA from 1 species
AGCAGCCGCGGUAAUUCCAGCUCCAAUAGCGUAUAUUUAAGUUGUUGCAGUUAAAAAGCUCGUAGUUGAAUUUCGGGGUCAGUAGGUUGGUCGUGCCACCGGUACGUACUGGUCUCACUGAUUCCUCCUUCCUGAUGAGCUGUAAUGCCAUUAAUUUGGUGUUGCAGGGAAUCUGGACUGUUACUUUGAAAAAUUAGAGUGUUUAAAGCAGGCUAACGCUUGAAUACAUUAGCAUGGAAUAAUGAAAUAGGACGUUCGAUCCUAUUUGUUGGUUUCUAGGAUUGACGUAAUGAUUAAGUAGGAUAGGUUGGGGC